GACGAACGCUGGCGGCGUGCUUAACACAUGCAAGUCGAACGGAAAGGCCUCUUCGGAGGUACUCGAGUGGCGAACGGGUGAGUAACACGUGGGUGAUCUGCCCUGCACUCUGGGAUAAGCCUGGGAAACUGGGUCUAAUACCGGAUAGGACCAUGCUUUAGUGUGUGUGGUGGAAAGUUUUUUCGGUGUAGGAUGAGCCCGCGGCCUAUCAGCUUGUUGGUGGGGUAAUGGCCUACCAAGGCGGCGACGGGUAGCCGGACUGAGAGGUUGGUGGGCCACAUUGGGACUGCGAUACGUCCCAGACUCCUACGGGAGGCAGCAGUGGGGAAUAUUGCACAAUGGGCGCAAGCCUGAUGCAGCGACGCCGCGUGGGGGAUGACGGCCUUCGGGUUGUAAACUCCUUUCGCCAGGGACGAAGCGUUUUGUGACGGUACCUGGAGAAGAAGCACCGGCUAACUACGUGCCAGCCGCCGCCGUAA
rnacentral:rRNA from 1 species